UCAUAUGCUUGUCUCAAAGCUUAAGCCAUGCAAGUGUAAGUUCACGCCACGCAUUAGAACGGGCGAAACCGCGAAUGGCUCAGGAACCGGACCUAAUCCUCGGGACCGUAAUCCUCCUCGGAGGCGAUGGAUAACUGUGGCAAUUCUAGAGCUAAUACAUGUGACACAGGCCGCGAUCGGUCGUCGCGCCGUGGUCGCCUCGCCUCGCAAGAGCGCGCUGGCACCCGCGACGGCCGUCUUGGGUCGCGGCGCUACAUAUUAGACUGAGACCGAUGCGCGAUUCCCGUCCUCCCUUCGGCUCUGUUGGGUCUCACGACUCGGCUUUGUCGUCGGGGCUAAAGGUCGGCGCGCUCCGCUUUGGUGACUCUGGAUAACUCACUGGUCGAUCGCACGGGCUUCCACGCCCGGCGACGGGUCCCUCGAGGGUCCGCCCUAUCAACUGUCGACGGUCGGUUAAGUGCCUACCGUGGUUACUACGGGUAACGGGGAAUCGGGGUUCGAUUCCGGAGAGGGAGCAUGCGAAACGGCUACCACAUCCAAGGAAGGCAGCAGGCGCGCAAAUUACCCACUCCCGGCACGGGGAGGUAGUGACGAAAAAUAACGACGCGGGACUCUGUCGAGGCCCCGCGAUCGGAAUGAGUACACUUCAAAUCCGUUAACGAGGACCAACCGGAGGGCAAGUCUGGUGCCAGCAGCCGCGGUAAUUCCAGCUCCGGUAGCGUAUAUUAAAGUUGUUGCGGUUAAAAAGCUCGUAGUCCGAAUUCGGGUUCGUGGUCGCUCACGCGGCCCCGGGGCGGCGGCGCCAUCGUCCAUCGUUGACUUUGGUCGUCCGUUCGCAUUCCCGGCCCUUUCCGCCGGUGUCAAUCGCUAUAUAGACGGCCGCGGGUCAGCUGGUGGUAGGYGUGACUCUCGGGUUCGGUGUUGGGUUUUGUUCUGGGGUUCNNGGAGCCGGACGCAAGUCCCGNGUUUUCUCUUUCUCUGGUCCUUGGCUCGGUGCCGUCUUGGGAAUCCGGGCUUUCGGGUCCCCUAUYGCUAAGUUCCUCGUGUUGCCGUCGGUGAUUUCUCCUCCAAGGGUGCUCUUAACCGAGUGUCCGCGGCGGCCGGUACGUUCACUUUGAAAAAAUUAGAGUGCUCAGAGCGGGCUGUUCAAGCUUGCAUACGAUAAGCAUGGAAUGAUGGAAGAGGGCCUCGUCUACGUCUGUCGGUCUCCGUCUACGGCGAGGCAAUGAUCGAAGGGAGCGGUCGGGGCCACUCGUAUUGCGACGUUAGAGGUGAAAUUCUUGGAUCGUCGCAAGACGAACUGCAGCGAUGGCGUGUGGCAAGCACGUUUUCCUCGAUCAAGAGCGAAAGUCGGAGGUUCGAAGACGAUCAGAUACCGUCGUAGUUCCGACCGUAAACGAUGCCGACCGGCGAUCCGCCGGCGUUCGCUUCCAUGACCCGGCGGGUAGCCUGCGGGAAACCAGAGUUCGGUUCCGGGGGGAGUAUGGUUGCAAAGCUGAAACUUAAAGGAAUUGACGGAAGGGCACCACCAGGAGUGGAGCCUGCGGCUUAAUUUGACUCAACACGGGAAAACUCACCCGGUCCGGACACCGGUAGGAUUGACAGAUCGAUAGCUCUUUCUCGAUUCGGUGGGUGGUGGUGCAUGGCCGUCUUAGUUGGUGGAGCGAUCCGUCUGGUUGAUUCCGAUAACGAACGAGACUCCGGCCUGCUAACUAGUGCGCCGAUGUCAGUGCGGCGUCGCAUCCCGGCGUCGUGUGCGGGCUCCGUUGGCGAUUUUUGAUCGUGUUUCGCGGGUCCGGGUCGGUUUCUCACGCACUUCUUAGAGGGACGGGUGGCAGAAAGCCACACGAGGCGGAGCGAUAACAGGUCUGUGAUGCCCUUAGAUGUCCGGGGCCGCACGCGCGCUACACUGGAGGUAUCAGCGGGGACUUCGCCCCGGCCCGAGAGGGUCGGGAAACCUCUCAACCACCUCCCGUGAUAGGGAUCGGGGCCUGUAACCAACCCCGUGAACGAGGAAUUCCCGGUAGGCGCGGGUCAACAGCCCGCGUCGAUCACGUCCCUGCCCUUUGUACACACCGCCCGUCGCUACUACCGAUCGAACGGUCCGGUGAGGUCCUCGGAUCUGGCCGACGACGCCGCCGGGUGUGGCCUUCACGGGUCUCGCCUCGGCGUUCGAUGCCUGGAGAAGACGACCGAACCC
rnacentral:rRNA from 1 species